rnacentral:rRNA from 1 species
AUACGUAGGUGACAAGCGUUAUCCGGAUUUACUGGGCGUAAAGGGCGUGUAGGCGGUCUUGCAAGUCAGAAGUGAAAUUCCUGAGCUCAACUCGGGCGCUGCUUCUGAAACUGCAGGACUUGAGUGCUGGAGGGGAUAGCGGAAUUCCUAGUGGAGCGGUAAAAUGCGCAGAUAUUAGGAAGAACACCGGUGGCGAAGUCGACUACCUUGACAGUAACGGACGCUGAGGCGCGAAAGCUGGGGGAUCAAACAGGAUUAGAUACCCUGGUAGUCCACGCCAUAAACGAUGAUUACUAGGUGUAGGGAGUAUCGACUCCCUCUGUGCCUCAGUUAACACAAUAAGUAUACCGCCUGGGGAGUGCUGUAGCAAUUUUGAAACUCAAACGAAUUGACGGGG